GUGGAACCUAAACACCCCCACCCCCCUUGAAAAAUCUUUCAACCCCUCAACAAAAAAUACCCCACUAUCCUAAUGUCAACAGGGACCUGUGUGAAUUCCAAAAUAUUUGCAGAUAUAUAAAUUCAGAGGCUUAUAUUUACAUCUAGAAUGCAAGACUGAAAUUCCUAUAUAUAGUCACUUCCCAAAAAUGAGUUGUACUGUACAUACAUGUAUAUUUACAAAAUAUUAAUCAGUUUCAAAAAUAUUUAUUAAAUGAUGUUUUCUGUACUUGCAGGUAUUUGCAGGGCACUCGAUCCAUUAUACCACACUGAUAGCUUCUCCAAGAUUAUAAAUAUGAUACAUGUAAACAGGCACAGGUACUUGUCAUCACAAGGAUCAGAAUUCAAGUGCCAGAAUAGUCCUAACUCCUAAAUCAUCCUGAUUUGUCAAAACUACUGACACAAGAGAAGAAUGUGGAGCAAGUGCCAAUAAAGGUUUGACUGAUGGGGUAUACCUGACUUCUGGGCAUUCUGGUUAUCACCAUCCGAUUCAGACAUGCCAGAGAAGAUCAACUUCAAGGUGACCCUUGCAUUGUGAGCUUUUGCUGAUGGACACAAAUUUUUCAGAAAAAAUCCAGUUACCACAUUAAUCACAGCCUGAUAGAUUGCUGGUGUGACUUCAGAAGAAACAUAGAUGCAAUGAUGAAACAUUAUCUCCAGACAUAUGGGUGGCCCUUGAGCAGAGAAUUGUCAAAAAUUGAACCAUUCAAUAAAGAAG